rnacentral:tRNA from 1 species
GCGCCCGUAGCUCAGUUGGAUAGAGCGUCUGGCUACGAACCAGAAGGUCGGGAGUUCGAAUCUUCCCGGGCGCG